AAGUCGUAACAAGGUUUCCGUAGGUGAACCUGCGGAAGGAUCAUUACCUAGAGUUGUAGGCUUUGCCUGCUAUCUCUUACCCAUGUCUUUUGAGUACCUUCGUUUCCUCGGCGGGUCCGCCCGCCGAUUGGACACAUUUAAACCCUUUGUAGUUGCAAUCAGCGUCUGAAAAACUUUAAUAGUUACAACUUUCAACAACGGAUCUCUUGGUUCUG
rnacentral:misc_RNA from 1 species